rnacentral:misc_RNA from 1 species
GAAGAAGGAGUGCACGUUUUCCUGUAGACCCGGCACACCACACAUUCCGCCCUGAAACGCGUGCACGCGCACGCGGUCCACCGUCCCUCCACCUUCGAGGCCUUCACCACAAGGCAUACACACAGUUUGCCAGUGCGCGUGUGCGCGUCGGUGAAGCUUGCCGCAGCCGCUCCCUCCCCCCUCCCCUCCAAACGCACCCCUUCUUGCUCGCUUCUUUUUGUAUUCGUCGCUUCGUUCCUUCGGCUUCUUACUUGCCUCUGUGCCUCCCCGCCCCGCCACCUCUCGCUCUCUCUCGCACUGCACGCCUCGCCCACUCAGACGUACCGCUCACAAACGCGAGCAGCACCCAACCACAGCGCUGCUGCGCACGUGGUGUCGUCGCCUUCCUGCGUGUAGGUGUGCCGGCCGGCCUGGGGUUUGUGCGUGGGCUAUCACUUGCUACGUGUUCUCGUGGUGUGUCGGCUCCGUGUUUUCAUUGUGCUGAAGGGGGUGUUGCCACCCGCUGCACGUCCCCUGCUUCUCUGUCGGUGCGGCUGCUUCCCCAUCGCCGCUGCGCGGCGCGCACAGCGCUGCUGCGGCUGCGAAGAAGUUUUUCUUGCGCAGGGGCUCGUGGCCUCCCUUCCCCCCUCCCGCACUGUUGUUGCUGCUGCCUUUCUACGCCUGCGGCUCCGUUCGACGCAGCUCACCGUCGAACUUGAACGUCAUCACACACACACACACACACACACACGAACGCCGCUGAGCUCUCCGCUGCAGCCAUGCAGACCUUCUACGACGUCCUCAGCGUGCCGAUGAGCGCCUCACAAGACGAGAUUUGGCACGCGUACCGGCGUCUGCUCGUCCGCUGCCACCCGGACCGCUGCUACCACGACAACGACAGCGUCGCGUACAACACGACCCGUGAACUGGAUGAGGUGCGGACGAACCUUCUGAGCAAGGCGUACAAGGUACUCUCCAACCCGCAAAGGCGGAGCGAGUAUGACGCCUAUCUCACCCGACAGCUGAGGAGCAACUCCUCUGUAUAUCACCAGCCUCCCCAGCAGGUCCGUCGUUCGCAAGGCACAGCGCAGCCGCAAGUGUUCGCGUUCGGUGGCGGCGCCAACCGGAGCGUAAGUCGUAUGGCAGGGCUGGUGAAGGCAAUGAUGACAACGGCGGUGGACGGCAACGCCGCGCCAGCCACGGCAGGCGCCGCGCCUGCUUCCGGGCAGCCCAUCUCCACAGAGGAAGGAGCCCGUAGGGGUGCCGUGCAUCCGCAAUAUGCGAACCCCAUGACACGAGCGUUGGGCACCUCGUUCGGUGUGGCAGGAGAAGCGACCGCGACCGUGCCGGAGGGCGGCGCGAACUUUGCGAAGUCGCCGUCAUCGAGCACGCCGUCAUCCGUGUCGAUUGUAUACACGGACUCCGUGUCGGUGCGCGCCAUCAAGGCAGGUCCCCGUACGGUGGGUCUCGUGGUCGUCACUGAUGGUGGAGUUGCACCAGGCACCCCGGCCUCCACAGAAACGCCGGAGGCCCCUCCGCAGCAGCAGCAGCAGCAGCAGCAGGAGCAGGCGCAGCCGUCCGCAGCGGCAGCAGCCGCGAUUCCUUCUGCUGUGUCAGACGUCCACCUGCCGCUCCGGAUCCGCGUCAUUGAAGAGCAUCUGGUACUCUGAGUGUGACAGUGGCAAAUUCAUCGCCUCCUCUCCCCCCUCCCCGCCACUACGCUCGCACACGCGCAAACCAUAUUCCCCUGCGUUGAUGCUGCUCGCCCUCUCUCCAAUCUGCAAGAGGCAGAUUCCCCACCAUUCCGUACAUCAGGAAAGGAAAGGAUGGUGGCGGCGGGGGCGGACGCGGUGAUGGCAGUGGUGGACGCAGGGGGCGCACAGCCGAUUGGACUCGCCACUCUUUUUCCUUGGCCCUUCUCGUUUAGCACACAUGUUUUGUUUCUCUUCUUUAGCUCUCGCUGCGCUCCUCCUCUGCGUGAAUGGCUGGCCAUGUAGGACGAGGUGUGCAUGCGCGUGUUGAUGUCUGCCACUGCAAGACGAGCGCAUCUCCGUCGUAGUCUCCCUAUCUCUCUGCCUUUCAAUUCGGCACGGCUCACGUUAUUGCUGCAUCUUCCGGUGCCCCUCGCGUGGAUGUCGACUCUCUCACACACAUAUCACCCUCACUCGACCCCCUCCUUUGUGUUCUAUUCAGAACUUUCCUUUUCCUUCUUCCUCCAGGUUCUGCACAAUGUGGGCCCUGCAUGUGCCCACACGCAAAACCAGGCGUGCGCACGAAGACACAAUAUCGAUGCGCCCCCCCCCUUUUUUUGACGCCUCUCUUCCUCAACUUGUGUGUCUCUAUGCGUCCCGGCGUCCCUCUGUCUGUGUUCCGGUAUCUGCGUGUCUGUGAUAGAAGGGAGUUAGGGGGAAAAGAAGUGGCUUCGCCGUGCGAGUGUUGGCCGGACUCGUUGACGUACACCAAGCAAGCCCCUAUGGCCGCGAACGCGCCCACGCACUGGCGGCAUGCAUGCGUGGAUAUACGGCUUCCUCUGCCGUCACCUCUGCAAAACCGUUGUCAGUGUUGCUGUCUCUAUCCUGUGCACGUGCAUGUGCACACACGAGCCGCUCUUCAGCCCCUUUCGUUUUCUUCACGAUCCUCUUCUCCUUUUUCUUGUUGUUUGGCUGCGGCUUCGUUUGCUCUCACCCACGUCGUGUGUGUAUGUGUGUGUGCUCUUUCCUUCGAAGGCGUUCUUCCGGCUCCCUAGCCCCCCCCUCACCC